UACGGAGGGUGCACGCGUUAUCCGGAAUCAUUGGGUUUAAAGGGUGCGCAGGCGGGGCCUUAAGUCAGUGGUGAAAUCUCUUCGCUUAACGAAGAAACUGCCAUUGAUACUGAGGUUCUUGAAUUUAGUUGGAGUGGGCGGAAUGUGCCAUGUAGCGGUGAAAUGCUUAGAUAUGGCACAGAACACCGAUCGCGAAGGCAGCUCACUAAACUAAUAUUGACGCUCAGGCACGAAAGCAUGGGGAGCAAACAGG
rnacentral:rRNA from 1 species